AAUGUAUGCAAUGUCUUUAUUUCAUCCUCAUUCUUAAAGGAUAUUUUCAUCAGCAACACCACACCCUCCUGAUCACCAUAGCUUUAUGGUAAGACACCCCUACUCUGUCCAGACCCAACUGUCAACAGAAGCCAAAGCCAUCUGGAGGAGCAUGCAACAACAAGAAACAAAUUUAUUAGCUAACCUAACCACUAAUGACGCAAGAGACAAUUCUAAGGACUUUCAAAACAGCAAAGUAGGAGCAGCUGCUACCUCUAGGGAUGAGGGAUGCAAUUGUCCAAUUAUUGGUGAAAUUGUCAUUUCAUGCUAUUGGCUAUUUGAAAUUCCUCCUCUAAUAUCUAGG
rnacentral:lncRNA from 1 species